UACAGAGGGUGCGAGCGUUAAUCGGAAUUACUGGGCGUAAAGCGUGCGUAGACGGUUAUGUAAGUCAGGUGUGAAAGCCCCGGGCUCAACCUGGGAAUUGCAUUUGAGACUGCAUAGCUAGGGUGCGGAAGAGGGAAGCGGAAUUUCCGGUGUAGCGGUGAAAUGCGUAGAGAUCGGGAGGAACAUCAGUGGCGAAGGCGGCCAUCUGGGACAACACUGACGCUGAGGCACGAAAGCGUGGGGAGCAAACAGG
rnacentral:rRNA from 1 species